UACGAAGGGGGCUAGCGUUGUUCGGAAUUACUGGGCGUAAAGCGUAUGCAGGCGGACUUUUAAGUCGGGGGUGAAAUCCCGAGGCCUCAACCUCGGAACUGCCUUCGAUACUGGAAGUCUUGAGUCCGGGAGAGGUGAGUGGAACUCCGAGUGUAGAGGUGAAAUUCGUAGAUAUUCGGAAGAACACCAGUGGCGAAGGCGGCUCACUGGCCCGGUACUGACGCUGAGAUACGAAAGCGUGGGGAGCAAACAGG
rnacentral:rRNA from 1 species